UCAAUUUUAUUAAAAUUCCUAUCUCUCUCAAUCUCACGUCUCUCUCUCCUUCCGCCAUUCUUCCAAAAAUUCACCACAACAAUUCCCUCACAACAAGCUCAGGUUCUCGUCUCUAUAUCCAAGUAUACACAAAACCCCCUAAAACAAAUUCUCUCCCUCUCACUCGCUGCUGUACCAGCAGCCGCCGUCCAUAGCCGCUGCAAUUCGCAGCCGUCACCGCUCCUUCGUCGCCGAGCAGCACCGUUCGCACAACAGUAGGUAGACAGAAAUAUUUUCCAAGAAUUGAAUUGAAGGGAAAACAAAAGGGCAGCUUCUAAUAGUGUUAAAGAUCGAGGCUUUCACACGAAUCCAUCAUUCAACAGUUUCGAGAAUUUCAAAAGGGAUUUAUUCCCGUGUGUGAUUAUGUGAAACUAAAUCAUAGAAUUGAAUGCAGAGACUAUCAGGAAUUGGAGAAAAACGCGUUUAUAGGCGAUUUUGCCUUUAAAAUAACGCAAAUGUACCCAUUUUGUUA